rnacentral:rRNA from 1 species
UGGGGAAUAUUGGACAAUGGGCGCAAGCCUGAUCCAGCCAUGCCGCGUGAGUGAUGAAGGCCUUAGGGUUGUAAAGCUCUUUCGACGGGGACGAUAAUGACGGUACCCGUAGAAGAAGCCCCGGCUAACUUCGUGCCAGCAGCCGCGGUAAUACGAAGGGGGCUAGCGUUGCUCGGAAUCACUGGGCGUAAAGGGCGCGUAGGCGGACGUUUAAGUCAGAGGUGAAAGCCCAGGGCUCAACCCUGGAAUGGCCUUUGAUACUGGACGUCUUGAGUCUGGUAGAGGUUGGUGGAACUGCGAGUGUAGAGGUGAAAUUCGUAGAUAUUCGCAAGAACACCGGUGGCGAAGGCGGCCAACUGGACCAGAACUGACGCUGAGGCGCGAAAGCGUGGGGAGCAAACAGGAUUAGAUACCCUGGUAGUCCACGCCGUAAAACGAUGGAUGCUAGCCGUUGGCCGGUUUACCGGUCAGUGGCGCAGCUAACGCGUUAAGCAUCCCGCCUGGGGAGUACGGCCGCAAGGUUAAAACUCAAAUGAAUUGACGGGGUCAUAGCUGUUUCCU